UGGGGAAUAUUGGACAAUGGGCGCAAGCCUGAUCCAGCCAUGCCGCGUGUGUGAAGAAGGCCUUUUGGUUGUAAAGCACUUUAAGCGAGGAGGAGGCUACUUGGAUUAAUACACUAAGAUAGUGGACGUUACUCGCAGAAUAAGCACCGGCUAACUCUGUGCCAGCAGCCGCGGUAAUACAGAGGGUGCGAGCGUUAAUCGGAUUUACUGGGCGUAAAGCGUGCGUAGGCGGCUUCUUAAGUCGGAUGUGAAAUCCCUGAGCUUAACUUAGGAAUUGCAUUCGAUACUGGGAAGCUAGAGUAUGGGAGAGGAUGGUAGAAUUCCAGGUGUAGCGGUGAAAUGCGUAGAGAUCUGGAGGAAUACCGAUGGCGAAGGCAGCCAUCUGGCCUAAUACUGACGCUGAGGUACGAAAGCAUGGGGAGCAAACAGG
rnacentral:rRNA from 2 species